GAGGUGUCGCGCCCUGUUACAUGCUACAUAGUUACAUGCAAUGCAAUUGCAUACCAAGCGUACAGUGGCAAUGGUACAUGUGCCAUUCUCCGUAUCACAAGUCAGUGUACUACAAAAAUGAUUUUGAAGCUGUUAUUUUAAGGUAAAAUUGUUACUUAAUGUUGAUUUAAAUGUGCUAUAUAAAUAAAGUUGACUUGUCUUGGUACUGGUCGAUUUUACUAGUAGCAGCAUUACACUCAGCAAGAGUACUGAAUAACUGAGACACACUCCUGUGCCACUAGUCUAUUUGUUGAAUGAAUAUAAUUAAUUCACAAAUAAAAGUCUACUGACAGAAAAUGACAUGAAUGUCGUGAUUUGUGUACCAAAUGGUUAUUUUCCAUCACUAAUUUAUUGGCCCUACAAAUGUUGACUAUAAAAAAACUCGAGUUCAUUUUAAAUCGGAACACUUCGAGGGUGAGUUAUCUACUCUUUAUCUGUGUAGUGAGUUGGAUUCAUCCCUUUCUUGUCUCACGUCACGGUACUCCAACAACUACUUAAUUAGUGGGCGCUGCUUGGAUGUGGCUAUAAAGGCCUGCGAGUUUGCUGCAGUGUGUGAGCUUGUGCACCGCGACCUCCCGUGCGGUGUAGUUUCCUGUUUCUCCUGCGGUAGGUUUUCGUCGCAUCUAGGUAGUUGCGUUGAAUUUUAAAGAUUAUACUUUGGACUUAAUUCGUCCUUUAUUGUAGCCUGGGGUUGUGGUCCUCUCCUCCACAGCGUGGUUGCUGUCACACUGGUCACCUUCUGUGUGGUGUGUGUGCUUAUUCUCACAACGUUGGUGUGAACCCUGGAGUAACAUACCAGUUAGCAUGCCUGCCAUAGCUUUUGUUUUCAUUAAUUUUGCGUCAAUCCCUCCCCUAUUGUGUUUGUCCAAUUUAACAGUGCUGUCUGUUUCGGCUUUGGUCUUUAAAAAGUAAACUCAUGGUGAUUUUUAACCUUUUCUGCUUUUGCACUAACCCGUCUCCAGUCUUUCGAGGUCCACCUCUUCCUGGGCAAGCAUACUGGUCAUACUUACGUUAUUUUUCUGUGGUGUUUUAACCUGUUUCAAAGGCUGGUGUGUGUGCCUUAUUGAACAUUAGUUUAACAUUCUGUGGGUGAAAUUCCCAGGGUGGAGUGGUCUGGCUACUUGUAGUACAGGGCUACGCUUUCUUGCCUUCUGUGAGGCACACGGUGAUGACAUACAAGUGCAGACAGCGUUUACUUGUAUUGAAUCUUGACUUUUGUCCCCAAGUGAUUUGUUAAUUUUGCCUUUUUUUACAGUUAGUAUGGCCUUUGACGUGAGGUGGCUAGCGGGCUGAUGUUAGCUUCCCUUUAGCGCCCUGUGAUUGAAAUUGUAGUUCGGAUGGUUUGGGAUUGCGAUGUUGGUACAUCAAAAUGAACGAAUGCAGUACGUGAUGCCCAUAGGAAUUAAACUGGGACAUAAUUAUUUGUUUUCCCCCUGCCGUCUGUUAAUGAAAUUCCUCGAUGUGGCUCGAGUGCGAAUAACACUCGAUGAUGAAACUUCACAGACCUGUACUGAAUGGUAGUGAUUGCACCUUUUUAUUUUCUGAUGAGAUUAUUCAGAGCCGUACGACGAGUGUGUUGUAGGCCUACUGUUUUCACCACAGUAUCCCACGUAACGUCUUUUGAUAUUCGUGCAUCUUGGC
ensembl:lncRNA